CCUACGGGAGGCUGCAGUAGGGAAUAUUGCUCAAUGGGGGAAACCCUGAAGCAGCAACGCCGCGUGGAGGAUGAAGGUUUUCGGAUUGUAAACUCCUUUUGUUAGAGAAGAUAAUGACGGAAUCUAACGAAUAAGCACCGGCUAACUCCGUGCCAGCAGCCGCGGUAAUACGGAGGGUGCAAGCGUUACUCGGAAUCACUGGGCGUAAAGAGCGCGUAGGCGGGAUAGCAAGUCAGAUGUGAAAGCCUAUGGCUAAACCAUAGCAGUGCAUUUGAAACGGUUAUUCUAGAGUAAGGGAGAGGUAGGUGGAAUCCUUGGUGAAGGGGUAAAAUCGGUAGAG
rnacentral:rRNA from 1 species